rfam:Ricinus communis cultivar Hale ctg_1100012359462, whole genome shotgun sequence.
AGCAGCAUUACAGGGCAAAAUCUCCAUUGGCAUGGAACCACUAAGAUAUCCAAACCAAUCAAGCCAGGAUUUCAAUAGUGUGUGCCCUGCCAAAGGAGAUUUGCCCGGCAAUACUUCU